UUUUAGAGAAAUUAAUACCAUAUGCCGCAAAGAGUGAGAUUUUCAUCUUGGGAGCUACCGGUGAAGUAUCAUACCUUGAACUUGUCCAUCCACAAGAAGCUCCAGUAGCAAACAAUGUUUUACAAGAUACGAGUUCCAUAUCCAUUUCAAUGGGGAGCACCUACAUUUGAUGCAAGUGAAGCCUUUGCCAUGAUGAUGGCAUCCUUUGUUGCUCUUGUAGAGGAUCCUUGAAAGAAAAGAGUUUGUGAUAGUGUUACUGUGUGGCACUAGUGGUUGUGACAAAUCUACAUUCUCUACAUUGCUGCAUUUGCUUUGUAGAUUUGUCCAAGAAUGGCUUCACUGUGGAGAUACCUUCGGCUUUGUUUACCUACUGCUACAAAACCAAGUGAGUUUCUCUUUCUCAUAACAACCUUGCUGGUUCAAUUCCUGCCUCCUUGAGAGAGAGAGAGAGAAAGAGGUAAACCAAGUGGCAUAUGAGGUUUGUUUUGAAGUUUGUCCUUACUUAUGGACUCGGAUGAACCUUUCAGUCAUUAAAUUAAUCUUUAUCAUUUCUGUUGGAUGCUUUUUUUUUUAUAGAUUCUAGUAGCGUCAAUUGUAUGCCUGGUAAAUCUUGUCAUAUGUUGGUUGUUGUUCAAAUGUAUUUUUGUAGCGUGAUUCAUUCCUAAAUCGGCAGCAAUUUUUAUAGUAAAGGUAUUGGCGCAAUGAUCUAUUAUUGGGUCCACAUAAAGGAUAGGUUGGCAGUAGGCAGCGAUAGGUGAUAUCAUGUGGUAGGAUAAUGACAAUUUUGUUGAUGAUGGAAUUCAAAUUGAGCCUUUCAACAUAGAGAAAGAAAGGGAAGAAGGUUAUUUUGAUGCUACAGGAAAUUUUGUUGAAUAUAUAAGAGAGAACGAGAUUAAGGAUGCGUGGCUUGAUAAUGUUGAAGUUGAUCCAUAAUAUGCUGCUGUAGCAACAAAUGAUGAAGAUGAGAGCCCCCCAGACCUUUCCUCUAAAGAUAUUGGAAUCAUGAAGAGGCGCAUUGCAAAUGUUCUUGAACCUGGGGAAACGCUCACUCUAGAGUAGAAGCAGUAGAUCAUCUAUUUAUUGAGGCAAACAUUUAUUUUCUUUAUGGCUUAGCAAUUGGGAUAUUUCUUGUUGAGGAAAUUUAUAUCCAUAUAAUAUAUAGUAGUUAAAAGUUUAAA